CCCUGGUGGCUCAGAUGGUAAAGCGUCUGCCUACAACGCAGGAGACCCAGGUUCAAUCCCUCGAUCAGGAA
rnacentral:tRNA from 1 species